AAUGUGGUUGAUGAUGCUCAACUUUUUUCCCCGUCUUAUCGACGAUGGUGAAUUCAGAAACUAAGCCAGUUUUGUCUGAAACCACAUU